GCAGGGCGCAUUGGUGCAUGCCUGUAAUCCCAGCAGCUUGGGAGGCUGAGGCAGGAGGAUCGCAAGCAACGGCUAGGUUCUUAGCAACUCAGUGAGACCCUGUCUCUA
rnacentral:sRNA from 1 species